rnacentral:lncRNA from 1 species
UGUAUAUAUAAGUUGUAUUUAUAUGAGACUGUAAUCUACCAAGGGUACAGUGGCAUUAUGCCCCCCCCAUCCAUGCACCUUAAUUCAAACUAGCUCCCGGCCAAAAAAUGAGGGGCCAAACAAAUACAAUCAUAACUUCAAAGAUUGUGGAUCACAGAUCCCCAAAACAUAUAGUAAUGAUGGUGAAGCUUGAAAUACUGCAAGACCUGCCAGCAUGUCAAGGGAGCAAAUACUUUUGGAAAAAUGGUGCCAGUAGACUUUGAAGUCCCUUUCGAAUUGCUAUGUCCCCUGAGACUCCGCUGUCAUGUGGUACGUAGUUUGGCCUCUGAUGCUUUCAGAAUGGCCUUUAUAUGAGCACCUACCAUGUGCCAACUUUCGUGCCAGGCAGGUUUUACACUCUGCACCUCCUUUUCAUUUAAUCUGUUCCAGAGAUCUGUAGUCACUGUGAAGUGAUCUCACUUUAGAGACAUUUUACUGAUGAGAGCGCUGAAACUCAGAGAGGUUAAGUAAUUUGCCUAAGGUCACACAGCCCCUAUGUGGAAGAGUCCUUUUUGAAUUUAGGUCUGUCUGACUUCAAAAGUAGUGGGGUUUUUUAAAACUAAAUUUUACAACUGAAAAGGGCAACUCUAACUAGACCUUCCUUAUUAGUAGCAAGGGAUUUUAUUUUAUAAGAAUUCCUCUAUGUGUAGGAUUGCUGUGUCAGGGCUUAUCCAGGCAUAGCCUGUUCAGAGGGGUUUUGAUGGUGGGGUUUAUGGACCUAGGACCCUUGCUAUGUGCUCACGACACUCCAUGGCUCUGGUACGCACUCCGGCAGUGGGUCUUCUGCUCCUGGAACUGUGCUUUUUAUUUUAUUUUAUUUAUUUACUUAUUUUGUCUUUUUGCCUCUUCUUGAGCCGCUCCCAUGGCAUAUGGAGGUUCCCAGGCUGGUGGCUACAGCUCCGAUUGGACCCCUAGCCUGGGAACCUCCAUAUGUCGCGGGAGUGGCCCUAGAAAAGACAAAAAGACAAAAACAAACAAACAAAUUAAUAAAUAAUUCAAUAGGGCAGGGGAGGGGGGGUCGUCAGGAGCAAGGCCAGGUUGGCUGGCCUGUCUUAAUCAUUAGCUAUACUGGCUGGCAGAGUGAGGGAGGUCCAUGAUGCUUGGAGUUUAUAGGUAUGCCAUCUUGAAAUUCUUAAUAAUUUUAUCUUCGAAUUUGUGAAGACCUGCCUCGGUCACCUUCUCGCCUCCCCAGAUGGGCUUCUGGCUUCCUCUUUCCCGGCCCUUGCCACACCCAGCAGCUGCCCUCUGCUCCUGGUGGGGACCUGGACCUGGGCUUAGGGAGGCGCAGGUCACGAGGCAGAGCCACGAGCAUCUGUGAGGGGCCGCGCUCACCCUGCAAGUACCCUCAGCCCGAGGACACACACUGACUAGCAAAUAAAUCACCCCACAGCAGAUCCAGACAGAGAUGGCAGAAUCAAGGAAAAAGCUUUUCUUCUUCCUCUUGAACAAAAGGCCUCGAAUUUUCACUUUGCACUGGGUGGGCCUUGCUCGUGAGGCCGCCAGCCCUGGGUCCAUAGAAGGUCGUGGGUGGAAAUGAAAUUGAAGCGUCUUUCCCCUUCGGAACAACCACAACACUAAAUGCUUAUUCUGGGAGUUCCCUUGUGGUGCAGUGGGUUAAGGAUCCAGCGUUAUCACUGCUGUGCCCUGGGUUCUAUUCCCUGGCUCAGGAACUUCCACUUGC